CCUACGGGAGGCAGCAGUGGGGAAUAUUGGACAAUGGAGGAAACUCUGAUCCAGCAACGCCGCGUGAAGGAUGAAGGUCUUCGGAUUGUAAAGUUCUUUUCUAAGGGACGAAGAAAGUGACGGUACCUUAGGAAUAAGCCUCGGCUAACUACGUGCCAGCAGCCGCGGUAAUACGUAGGCGGCAAGCGUUAUCCGGAAUGACUGGGCGUAAAGGGUGCGUAGGGGGUUUGGCAAGUCAGUUGCGUAACCGCAGGGCUCAACCUUGGGACUGCAACUGAAACUGUUGGACUUGAGUGCAGGAGGGGCAAACGGAAUUCCCAGUGUAGCGGUGGAAUGCGUAGAUAUCAGGAGGAACACCAGUGGCGAAGGCGGGUUGCUAGACUGUAACUGACGCUGAGGCACGAAAGCGUGGGGAGCAAACAGGAUUAGAUACCCCUGUAGUC
rnacentral:rRNA from 1 species